rnacentral:rRNA from 1 species
CGGGCAGGUCUAAGUAUAAGCACCUAUACGGUGAAACUGCGAAUGGCUCAUUAAAUCAGUUAUCGUUUAUUUGAUAGUACCUUACUACAUGGAUAACCGUGGUAAUUCUAGAGCUAAUACAUGCUAAAAACCCCGACUUCGGGAGGGGUGUAUUUAUUAGAUAAAAAACCAAUGCCCUUCGGGGCUCAAUGGUGAAUCAUAAUAACUUAACGAAUCGCAUGGCCUUGCGCCGGCGAUGGUUCAUUCAAAUUUCUGCCCUAUCAACUUUCGAUGGUAGGAUAGUGGCCUACCAUGGUAUCAACGGGUAACGGGGAAUUAGGGUUCUAUUCCGGAGAGGGAGCCUGAGAAACGGCUACCACAUCCAAGGAAGGCAGCAGGCGCGCAAAUUACCCAAUCCCGACACGGGGAGGUAGUGACAAUAAAUACUGAUACAGGGCUCUUUUGGGUCUUGUAAUUGGAAUGAGUACAAUUUAAAUACCUUAACGAGGAACAAUUGGAGGGCAAGUCUGGUGCCAGCAGCCGCGGUAAUUCCAGCUCCAAUAGCGUAUAUUAAAGUUGUUGCAGUUAAAAAGCUCGUAGUUGAACCUUGGGCCUGGCUGGCCGGUCCGCCUCACCGCGUGUACUGGUCCGGCCGGGCCUUUCCUUCUGGGGAACCGCAUGCCCUUCACUGGGCGUGUGUGGGAACCAGGACUUUUACUUUGAAAAAAUUAGAGUGUUCAAAGCAGGCCUUUGCUCGAAUACAUUAGCAUGGAAUAAUAGAAUAGGACGUGUGGUUCUAUUUUGUUGGUUUCUAGGACCGCCGUAAUGAUUAAUAGGGAUAGUCGGGGGCAUCCGUAUUCAAUUGUCAGAGGUGAAAUUCUUGGAUUUAUUGAAGACGAACUACUGCGAAAGCAUUUGCCAAGGAUGUUUUCAUUAAUCAGUGAACGAAAGUUA